AACGAACGCUGGCGGCAGGCUUAACACAUGCAAGUCGAGCGCCCCGCAAGGGGCGCGGCAGACGGGUGAGUAACGCGUGGGAAUCUACCCAUCUCUACGGAAUAACGCAUGGAAACGUGUGCUAAUACCGUAUGCGUCCUUCGGGAGAAAGAUUUAUCGGAGAUGAAUGAGCCCGCGUUGGAUUAGCGAGUUGGUGGGGUAAAGGCCUACCAAGGCGGCGAUUCAUAGCUGGUCUGAGAGGAUGAUUAGCCACACUGGGACUGAGACACGGCCCAGGCUCCUGAGGGAGGCAGGAGGGGGGAAUGUUGGACGACGGGCGCAGGCCUGAUCCAGCCAUGUCGGGUGAGUGAUGAAGGCCCUAGGGAUGUAAAGCUCUUUCACCGGUGAAGAUAAUGACGGUAACCGGAGAAGAAGCCCCGGCUAACUUCGUGCCAGCAGCCGCCGUAAGAC
rnacentral:rRNA from 1 species